UGGGGAAUAUUGCACAAUGGGCGGAAGCCUGAUGCAGCAACGCCGCGUGAGUGAUGAAGGCCUUCGGGUUGUAAAGCUCUGUCUUUUGGGACGAUAAUGACGGUACCAAAGGAGGAAGCCACGGCUAACUACGUGCCAGCAGCCGCGGUAAUACGUAGGUGGCAAGCGUUGUCCGGAUUUACUGGGCGUAAAGGAUGCGUAGGCGGAUUUUUAAGUGAGAUGUGAAAUACCCGGGCUUAACUUGGGUGCUGCAUUUCAAACUGGAAUCAUAGAGUGCGGGAGAGGAGAAUGGAAUUCCUAGUGUAGCGGUGAAAUGCGUAGAGAUUAGGAAGAACACCAGUGGCGAAGGCGAUUCUCUGGACCGUAACUGACGCUGAGGCAUGAAAGCGUGGGUAGCAAACAGGAUUAGAUACCCUGGUAGUCCACGCCGUAAACGAUGAGUACUAGGUGUAGGAGGUAUCGACCCCUUCUGUGCCGCAGUUAACACAAUAAGUACUCCGCCUGGGAAGUACGAUCGCAAGAUUAAAACUUAAAGGAAUUGACGGGGUCAUAGC
rnacentral:rRNA from 1 species